rnacentral:rRNA from 1 species
AUUGAACGCUGGCGGUAUGCUUUACACAUGCAAGUCGAACGGUAGAGGGGCAACCCUCGAGAGUGGCGAACGGGUGAGUAAUACAUCGGAACGUGCCCAGUCGUGGGGGAUACCGUAGCGAAAGCUACGCUAAUACCGCAUACGACCCGAGGGUGAAAGCGGGGGACUCGCAAGGGCCCCGAGCGAUUGGAGCGGCAGAUGUCAGAUUAGCUAGUUGGGGGGGUAAAAGCCCACCAAGGCGACGAUCUGUAGCUGGUCUGAGAGGACGACCAGCCACACUGGGACUGAGACACGGCCCAGACUCCUACGGGAGGCAGCAGUGGGGAAUUUUGGACAAUGGGGGCAACCCUGAUCCAGCCAUGCCGCGUGCGGGAAGAAGGCCUUCGGGUUGUAAACCGCUUUUGUCAGGGAAGAAACGGUCUGCGCUAAUACCGCGGACUAAUGACGGUACCUGAAGAAUAAGCACCGGCUAACUACGUGCCAGCCGCCGCGGUAACAC